ACUUGUGAAAAAUUAUGAGUAUAAAAAACCAGAGGAGCGGAGUCCAUUGGUAGCAGCAAUGCAGCAUUUUCUGCCAGUUCUAAAGGAUCGUUUUAUCCAGCUUCUUUCUGACCAGUCUGAUCAGUCUGUCCUCAUCCAGAAACAAAUAUUCAAGAUCUUCUAUGCUCUUGUUCAGGUAAUAUCUAUGAAGCAGUUUUUAUGCAUAAAAAGUUAGUCUGUCAUUUACCAUGUUAAAAAUUAACAAAGAAGUUCAGCAUUUGAAUAAUAGUUAACUUGAAAAUCUACAUUAAGUGGAUGAUUUUCUAGCAAAAUAUAAAUUGCAGAAAUUAUAAGUCUA
rnacentral:sRNA from 1 species